rnacentral:tRNA from 1 species
GCCGUGGUGGCGGAAUAGGUAUACGCGCAGGACUUAAAAUCCUGUGGUCGAAUAGACCUUGCGGGUUCGAGUCCCGCCCUCGGCACUA